GUGCCCGUAGCUCAGUUGGAUAGAGCGAUUGGUUUCUACCCAAUAGGUCGGGGGUUCGAAUCCUCCCGGGCAUGCCA
rnacentral:tRNA from 2 species